CCAGCAUCUUCCCCGACACGCUUCCCCUCCUUCAUACCGCCAAAACUUUCGCAGCGCCUCCAAACCCCGUCUCCCCGGCCGUUCUCUUCCUAAAUUCCCCAAAAGCCGAGCCGCAAACGGAAAAUCCACACGAUUCGAUACCCAUUUCACUAUUCUACUCGCCGGAGGUGUGAUGAGGCCAUCGAGGAGCAGAUGCGACCGCCGUGGCAGCGACGCGGACGAGGAGGAGGUCGUCGCCCUCUCCUCCGACCCCGACGAGUCGGAGUCCGAACCGGAGGGCGGGGCGGAGGUGGACGACGACGAAGAGUACGUAGGGGAGAGCAGUGACGCAGGCGGCGUCGACGACGAAGCUGAGGAAGGAGGGGGAGGCAGCGACAACGGCGGCGGCGGGCGGCUAGUUCGGGGCGCGCGGCGCGGCGCUGUGGCUCCUGAUGAGGAGAGGAAAUCGCAGAACGUGGAUGCGCUCGUCAGGGGAAACUUGGUUGUAAGAAGGCAACCACUUAUUCCGCGUAUCCUUUCAGUUUCCGAUGCAGCAGCAAUAGCUCGAAAACCAUUCAAACCUCCGUGUGAAAAUGGAUACAGUGAAAAUAACGAGCAUCUUGCUCGGCGCCUUUCAGCCCGUAAAAGAUUUGUCCCGUGGGGUUCGAUGCAGCCAUUUGCAGUUAUAAGCAAUCUUCCUCAAUCGUCUACCAUUGCUAGUGAUGAUUCCUUAGAAAAGGAGGAGUCUCUUCCACCUGGCAUUGAGCCAUUGAUUUUGUGGCAACCCGAGGGAUGCGACAAGGAAAACAACAAUUUUGCUGCAAUAGAAGUUGAUAAUUUGCUUGUACGUUACCUUCGGCCCCAUCAAAGGGAAGGAGUUCAGUUUAUGUUUGACUGCGUCUCUGGGUUGCUAAGUGAUGACGGUAUUGCUGGAUGCAUUUUAGCUGAUGACAUGGGAUUGGGAAAGACUUUACAGUCGAUAGCUUUACUAUACACCCUUCUCGCUCAAGGUUUUGAUGGUAAGCCAAUGGUUAAAAGAGCAGUCAUUGUAACCCCCACGAGCCUAGUUAGCAACUGGGAAUCCGAGAUAAGUAAGUGGUUAAAAGGCAAAGUGCAGCUGCUUGCCCUCUGUGAAAGCACUCGUGCCGAUGUUCUUUCUGGAAUAGGAAGUUUCUUAAAGCCCUUAAGCCGCCUUCAGGUACUUAUCAUAUCUUAUGAGACAUUCCGCAUGCAUUCGUCAAAAUUUGAAAGACCAGCAAGCUGUGACCUUCUCAUAUGUGAUGAGGCUCACAGGCUGAAAAAUGACCAGACACUAACAAAUAAGGCCUUAGCCGCGCUUCCUUGUACACGGCGUAUCUUGUUGUCAGGUACCCCAAUGCAGAAUGAUUUGGAAGAGUUCUUUUCAAUGGUAAACUUUACAAAUCCAGGAGUUCUGGGGGAUGCUGCAUAUUUCCGCAGAUAUUAUGAAGCCCCAAUAAUUUGCGGAAGAGAACCCACAGCAACUGCAGAAGAAAAAAAGUUGGGAUCUGAGAGAUCUGGUGAGCUUAGUGCAAAAGUAAAUCAGUUUAUACUGAGACGAACAAAUGCCCUGUUGUCCAAUCACUUGCCACCAAAGAUUGUUGAAGUAGUGUGCUGCAAGCUGACUCCUUUGCAGACGACAUUGUACAACCACUUCAUACAUUCCAAAAAUGUUAAACGCUUGAUAUCUGAAGAAGCAAAGCGAUCUAAAAUUUUGGCAUACAUUACUGCUCUUAAGAAAUUAUGCAACCAUCCAAAGCUAAUUUAUGACACCAUAAAAAGUAACAAGUCAGGAGGUUCUGAUUUUGAUGAUUGUCUACGAUUUUUCCCUCCAGAACUGUUUCAAGGAAGAUCUGGAUCAUGGACUGGUGGAGGAGGAAUGUGGGUAGAACUAUCUGGCAAAAUGCAUGUGUUGGCUAGAUUGCUGGGCCACCUCCGCCUGAAAACUGAUGAUCGUAUUGUCCUUGUAUCAAAUUAUACCCAGACAUUAGAUUUAUUUGCACAAUUAUGCCGGGAAAGAAGAUACCCUUAUGUUAGACUUGAUGGAGCAACAUCCAUUAAUAAAAGGCAAAAGCUGGUGAACCAAUUCAAUGAUCUGUCUAGAGAUGAGUUUGUCUUUCUACUUAGUAGCAAGGCAGGCGGUUGUGGGCUUAAUUUGGUGGGUGGAAAUCGAUUGGUUCUCUUUGAUCCUGAUUGGAACCCUGCCAAUGAUAAGCAGGCUGCUGCUAGAGUAUGGAGAGAUGGACAAAAGAAGAGAGUGUACAUUUACAGGUUCUUGAGCACUGGAACCAUUGAGGAAAAGGUAUAUCAGCGCCAAAUGUCGAAAGAGGGACUCCAAAAAGUUAUCCAACAGGAACAAGGGAACACCAAAAUGCAGGAUCAAGGCUGUUCUCUUUCAACAGAAGAUCUGCGUGAUCUUUUUACUUUUCAUGAACAAGUCAGGUCUGAAAUACAUGAAAAUUUGAAGUGCAACCGUUGUAACAAGGACAGCUAUAUGCUGUUAGAUGGUAAUUCUUUGGAGUCAGCAGCCAUUGAGCACAACAAGAUUUCGACCUCAGGAGAAAAAUAUUAUACUGAUAUUGGUGGGUUUGGAGAGAUCUCUGGAUGUGUGCAGAAAAUGAAUAGUUCAAAUCAACAGAUUGACCAACCUUCUGAAGAAGAUUUAGGAAGUUGGGGCCAUCAUUCUGAUCCAUCAACUGUACCCGAUACCAUACUCCAGAGUUCUGCUGGUGACGAGGUUUCUUUUGUUUUCACCAAUCAGAUUGAUGGGAAACUUGUUCCAGUUGAAUCUAUGGUGCGAUUAACAACACCAAAUGGAAUGACAGCUAGUGGAGAAAAACAAGUGGCGGAAAUAAAUUCUCCUAACAAACCUGGAUGGCAAUCUUCACUUGGCAAGAAUUUGAAGAUGACGGGAUUCAAUUUGAAGAAUUCAUCUUUGAAAUGCCCAACUAAAUCAAGAAGGACAUCUCCAAUUUGCUUGCAAGGGUUGAAUAAAACCAACUCUUCAGAUUAUAAACCUCAGACUAAAAAACUUCAUGUUGCGUCUGAUAUGUCUGAUGAUGAUUUUGUUUGAGUGUAUCUGUGUUGAAGCUAAAUUCUCCAGUGAUAAUUUCAUCAUCUGAUCUUUAUUGUGCUGUGUAAAUACUAUCAUCUGUAAGUAUACGCAGUUAGUGAGAUGAUCAUUUCAAGACGAAUGGCUGCUAGUCUAAUUCAUUUACCAUCAAAGGUUCACUUUUCGUACGUUUGUUGUACAGUCUGGCGCUGGUUUAUUGUUCUUGCUACAGAAUGCACGGCAUGUGUGAGCUUAUUUAUAGAUCUACUUUUCACUUCACUUGAUGCAGUAUUAAAAGGUUAUCAUUGAUAUGGUGUAUGUAUCUGGUAUUAGAAUUUGGGCCCUGUUGCUGAAGAGUCACAAAUUUCUUCCCACACGAGAUAUGUAGCCAGAAAAAAAGGUCGUUUUCUGGGCUCGUCCGGUCCGUUCUUCAGGUCCUCUACGCCAUGUCUUCGCAAGGCUGCUGGUCCCUAAUCCACGGCAAGAAAGCUACCACCGAACCUACACUCCCAGUCGCCGGUCAGACCGUACGGCUUUCUUGUUCCUUGGUAUGCGGUUCAUGAACAAAGCCUUCGAUUCCCUUGUCUCGCAUGAUAUCAAACAGUUGCCCGCUCAGUAUGAUCCUGUGAGGUGCGGUGGAUCGUCAUAUUCAACGAGGAAAGGGACUCUUGUCUGCACCUUGUAACCUUGCUAAUUCCCCUGCAAUUAUGGAUUGGUGUCUGUUGUACUCUACACUUGGAAUGCACGAAAGGUUGGUAUUCUCUCCCGUA